rnacentral:tRNA from 1 species
GUCCAUGUAGCUCAGCUGGAUAGAGCAUCCGCCUUCUAAGCGGACGGUCAGGGGUUCGAAUCCCUUCAUGGACGCCA